CCAUUUUGCCCAAAGAACAAUGACGUUUACAUCUAUGCAAUCUAAAUGGGAAAAGCUGCAUGUUCUUCAGAAGGAGUGUCGAGAGCAAAAUAUUUAUCUCAGAUAUACUGCAUGUAUAUCAACAAUGGAACUUGGAGCAUUGACUUCAUGGAGCCUUGCUUGUUUACAGAAGGUCAUUGAACCAAAGGUGAUACAUCGAGACAUUAAGCAAAGGUUUCUUCUUGGCCACUAAGCACUUUGUAGUACCUUUCAAAUUUUCUACGAUCAGCCAUCCCAAGAU